rnacentral:rRNA from 1 species
CCUACGGGAGGCAGCAGUGAGGAAUAUUGGUCAAUGGACGAGAGUCUGAACCAGCCAAGCCGCGUGAAGGAUGACUGCCCUAUGAGUUGUAAACUUCUUUUAUAUGGGGAUAAAACAGGAUAUGCAUACCCUCUUGUAUGUACCAUAUGAAUAAGGAUCGGCUAACUCCGUGCCAGCAGCCGCGGUAAUACGGAGGAUCCGAGCGUUAUCCGGAUUUAUUGGGUUUAAAGGGUGCGUAGGUGGAUUGUUAAGUUAGUGGUGAAAUGUUGCGGCUCAACCGUGAAAUUGCAGUUGAAACUGGCAGGCUUGAGUGCAGUAGCGGUAGGCGGAAUGCGUGGUGUAGCGGUGAAAUGCUUAGAUAUCACGAAGAACACCGAUUGCGAAGGCAGCUCACCGGACUGCAACUGACGCUGAUGCACGAAAGCGUGGGUAUCAAACAGGAUUAGAUACCCCUGUAGUC